rnacentral:rRNA from 1 species
GACGAACCAUCCAAACGUUAUUCGGAAUCACUGGGCUUAAAGGGUGCGUAGGCGGCUCGGUAAGUUGGGUGUGAAAUACCUCAGCCUAACUGAGGAACUGCGCCCAAAACUGUCGGGCUCGAGGAAGACAUAGGUGAGCGGAACUUAGGGUGGAGCGGUGAAAUGCGUUGAUAUCCUAAGGAACACCAGUAGCGAAAGCGGCUCACUGGGUCUUAUCUGACGCUGAUGCACGAAAGCCAGGGGAGCGAAC